rnacentral:rRNA from 1 species
UACGAAGGGGGCUAGCGUUGUUCGGAAUUACUGGGCGUAAAGCGCACGUAGGCGGACUAUUAAGUCAGGGGUGAAAUCCCGGGGCUCAACCCCGGAACUGCCUUUGAUACUGGUAGUCUCGAGUCCGGAAGAGGCGAGUGGAAUUCCUGGUGUAGCGGUGGAAUGCGCAGAUAUCAGGAGGAACACCAACGGCGAAGGCAGCUCGCUGGGACGGUACUGACGCUGAGGCGCGAAAGCGUGGGGAGCGAACAGG